rnacentral:rRNA from 1 species
GACGAACGCUGGCGGCGUGCUUAACACAUGCAAGUCGAACGGAAAGGCCCUGCUUUUGUGGGGUGCUCGAGUGGCGAACGGGUGAGUAACACGUGAGUAACCUGCCCUUGACUUUGGGAUAACUUCAGGAAACUGGGGCUAAUACCGGAUAGGAGCUCCUGCUGCACGGUGGGGGUUGGAAAGUUUCGGCGGUUGGGGAUGGACUCGCGGCUUAUCAGCUUGUUGGUGGGGUAGUGGCUUACCAAGGCUUUGACGGGUAGCCGGCCUGAGAGGGUGACCGGCCACAUUGGGACUGAGGUACGGCCCAGACUCCUACGGGAGGCAGCAGUGGGGAAUAUUGCGCACUGGGCGGAAGCCUGAUGCAGCAACGCCGCGUGCGGGAUGACGGCCUUCGGGUUGUAAACCGCUUUCGCCUGUGACGAAGCGUGAGUGACGGUAAUGGAUAAAGAAGCACCGGCUAACUACGUG